rnacentral:rRNA from 1 species
CGAACGCUGGCGGCGUGCUUAACACAUGCAAGUCGAACGGCAAGGCCCUGCUUCUGUGGGGUGCUCGAGUGGCGAACGGGUGAGUAACACGUGAGUAACCUGCCCUUGACUUUGGGAUAACUUCAGGAAACUGGGGCUAAUACCGGAUAGGAGCUCCUGCUGCAUGGUGGGGGUUGGAAAGUUUCGGCGGUUGGGGAUGGACUCGCGGCUUAUCAGCUUGUUGGUGGGGUAGUGGCUUACCAAGGCUUUGACGGGUAGCCGGCCUGAGAGGGUGACCGGCCACAUUGGGACUGAGAUACGGCCCAGACUCCUACGGGAGGCAGCAGUGGGGAAUAUUGCACAAUGGGCGGAAGCCUGAUGCAGCAACGCCGCGUGCGGGAUGACGGCCUUCGGGUUGUAAACCGCUUUCGCCUGUGACGAAGCGUGAGUGACGGUAAUGGGUAAAGAAGCACCGGCUAACUACGUG